AGCCCGAAGAAAUUUGGAUUAAGACUCUAUAGUAUCAUUUAAAGACAUCUUUUUAUGAUUAAAGGUUACGGUAUGAGAUGAGUAUGCGUUCUAUUAGUUUGUAGGUGAGGUAACGGCUCACCUAGACUGCGAUAGAUAGGGGCCCUGAGAGGGGGACCCCCCACACUGGUACUGAGACACGGACCAGACUCCUACGGGAGGCAGCAGUAAGGAAUAUUGGGCAAUGGGCGAAAGCCUGAACCAGCCAUGCCGCGUGCAGGAUGAAUGCCCUAUGGGUUGUAAACUGCUUUUAUAUAGGAAGAAAAACUUUCUCGUGAGAAAGCUUGACGGUACUGUAAGAAUAAGGAUCGGCUAACUCCGUGCCAGCAGCCGCGGUAAUACGGAGGAUCCAAGCGUUAUCCGGAAUUAUUGGGUUUAAAGGGUCCGUAGGUGGAUAAUUUAGUCAGAGGUGAAAUCCUGCAGCUUAACUGUAGAAUUGCCUUUGAUACUGGUUAUCUUGAGUUAUUAUGAAGUGAUUAGAAUGUGUAGUGUAGCGGUGAAAUGCAUAGAUAUUACACAGAAUACCGAUUGCGAAGGCAGAUUACUAACAAUCAACUGACGCUGAGGGACGAAAGCGUGGGUAGCGAACAGGAUUAGAUACCCUGGUAGUCCACGCCGUAAACGAUGGUCACUAGCUGUUUGGACUUCGGUCUGAGUGGCUAAGCGAAAGUGAUAAGUGACCCACCUGGGGAGUACGUUCGCAAGAAUGAAACU
rnacentral:rRNA from 1 species